rnacentral:rRNA from 1 species
AGAACGAACGCUGGCGGCAUGCCUAACACAUGCAAGUCGAACGAGAUCCUUCGGGAUCUAGUGGCGCACGGGUGCGUAACGCGUGGGAACCUGCCCCUCGGUUCGGAAUAACACAGAGAAAUUUGUGCUAAUACCGAAUGAUGACUUCGGUCCAAAGAUUUAUCGCCGAGGGAUGGGCCCGCGUAGGAUUAGCUUGUUGGUGGGGUAAUGGCCUACCAAGGCAACGAUCCUUAGCUGGUCUGAGAGGAUGAUCAGCCACACUGGGACUGAGACACGGCCCAGACUCCUACGGGAGGCAGCAGUGGGGAAUAUUGGACAAUGGGCGAAAGCCUGAUCCAGCAAUGCCGCGUGAGUGAUGAAGGCCUUCGGGUUGUAAAGCUCUUUUACCCGGGAUGAUAAUGACAGUACCGGGAGAAUAAGCUCCGGCUAACUCCGUGCCAGCAGCCGC